UACGUAGGGUGCAAGCGUUGCCCGGAUUUAUUGGGCGUAAAGGGCGCGCAGGCGGCUACGCACGUCCGUUGUGAAAUCGCUCGGCUCAACUGGGCGGGGUCGGCGGAUACGGCGUAGCUGGAGCAAGCUAGGGGGCAAUGGAAUUCCCGGUGUAGCGGUGAGAUGCGCAGAUAUCGGGAGGAACACCGGUGGCGAAGGCGGUUCUCUGGGCCUUACCUGACGCUGAGGAGCGAAAGCGUGGGGAGCGAACAGG
rnacentral:rRNA from 1 species